rnacentral:rRNA from 1 species
GCGUGGAUGAAGAAGGCCCUAGGGUUGUAAAGUCCUUUCGGUGGUGAAGAUAAUGACGGUAACCACAGAAGAAGCCCCGGCUAAUUUCGUGCCAGCAGCCGCGGUAAUACGAAAGGGGCUAGCGUUGUUCGGAAUUACUGGGCGUAAAGCGCACGUAGGCGGCAUUGUAAGUUGGGGGUGAAAUCCCAGGGCUCAACCCUGGAACUGCCUUCAAAACUACAAAGCUAGAGGCUGUGAGAGGAGAGUGGAAUUCCGAGUGUAGAGGUGAAAUUCGU